rnacentral:rRNA from 1 species
GAGAUAGCUCGUACUCCCCGAAAUGCAUUUAGGUGCAGCCUGUGGAGUUUCUUACGUGAGGUAGAGCGACUGAUUGGAUGCGAGGCUUUCACCGGCUAUCAAGUCCAGACAAACUCCGAAUGCACGUUAAGUAAGAUCCACGGAGUGAGGGCAUGGGUGCUAAGGUCCAUGUCCGAGAGGAGAAGAAUCCAGACCAUCGGCUAAGGUCCCGAAAUAAUAGCUAAGUUGACCAAACGAAGUCAGAGUGCGAAGACAGCUAGGAUGUUGGCUUGGAAGCAGCCAUUCAUUUAAAGAGUGCGUAACAGCUCACUAGUCGAGUGCUUUGGCGUGGAUAAUAAUCGGGCAUAAGCUAUUUACCGAAGCUGUGGGAUGUGUAAACAUCGGUAGGGGAGCAUUCUAGCGACGCUGAAGGUGAGAGGACAACUCUUGCUGGAGUUUCUAGAAAAGCAAAUGUAGGUAUAAGUAACGAUAAAGGAGGUGAGAAACCUCCUCGCCGAAAGACUGAGGGUUCCUGAUCAACGCUAAUCGGAUCAGGGUUAGUCGGGGCCUAAGGGGAAGCCGAACGGCGUACCCGAUGGAAGAACCGGUUAAUAUUCCGGUACUAAUUAUGUGAGCGAUGUGGAGACGGAGAUGUGACGGUCCUGCCAACUGACGGAAUAGUUGGUUGAAGGGUGUAGGAGUUGAUCUGAGUAGGCAAAUCCGCUCGGAGAUCCGAACCUGACAGUACUCUGAGUGCUUGCACAAGGAGAUAUGGACAACUGUAACGGUGCUCCCAAGAAAAUCCGCUAAGCAUAUUGCAUGAUUACCCGUACCAUAAACCGACACAGGUGGUUGGGUUGAGUAUACUAAGGCGCUCGAGUGAUUCGCGGUUAAGGAACUAGGCAAAAUAGUCCUGUAACUUCGGAAUAAAGGACGCUCACAGUAAAGGCUGUGAGCCGCAGAGAAUAGGCCCAGG